rnacentral:rRNA from 1 species
GGACCCGCACAAGUAGUGGAGCAUGUGGUUUAAUUCGAAGAUACGCGCAGAACCUUACCAACACUUGACAUGUUCGUCGCGACUCUAAGAGAUUAGAGUUUUCGGUUCGGCCGGACGAAACACAGGUGCUGCAUGGCUGUCGUCAGCUCGUGUCGUGAGAUGUUGGGUUAAGUCCCGCAACGAGCGCAACCCUCACUUUUAGUUGCCAUCAUUAAGUUGGGCACUCUGAAAGAACUGCCAGUGAUAAGCUGGAGGAAGGUGGGGAUGACGUCAAGUCCUCAUGGCCCUUACGUGUUGGGCUACACACGUGCUACAAUGGUAUCUACAACAGGUUGCCCAACCCCCGCGAGGGUGAGC